CAGCCGCCGCGGUAAUACGGAGGGUGCAAGCGUUAUCCGGAUUUAUUGGGUUUAAAGGGUCCGUAGGCGGAUCUGUAAGUCAGUGGUAAAAUCUCACAGCUUAACUGUGAAACUGCCAUUGAUACUGCAGGUCUUGAGUAAAUUUGAAGUGGCUGGAAUAAGUAGUGUAGCGGUGAAAUGCAUAGAUAUUACUUAGAACACCAAUUGCGAAGGCAGGUCACUAAGAUUUAACUGACGCUGAUGGACGAAAGCGUGAGGAGCGAACAGGAUUAGAUACCCGUGUAGUCCCUGUCUCUUAUAC
rnacentral:rRNA from 1 species